AUGACAGAAAUUGCAACCAUAUCUGCGGUGCAGCACCGGAACCUUGUGAAGUUGCACGGAUGUUGCAUCGACAGUAAGACGCCACUUUUGGUCUAUGAGUACCUGGAACAAGGGAGCCUCGAUCAAGCAAUAUUUGGCAAGAUAGACUUGAACCUAGACUGGAGAACGCGCUUCGAGAUAUGCGUAGGCAUUGCAAGAGGUCUAGCGUACCUCCAUGAGGAGUCCAGCAUGCGUAUAGUGCACAGGGACAUCAAGGCCAGCAAUGUCUUGCUCGAUGCUGAUCUUAAUCCCAAGAUCUCUGACUUCGGCAGAGCUAGGCAUUACAAGAAUAGCAUGACUCAUCUCAACACCGGAGUUGCUGGCACGCUUGGUUAUCUCGCACCCGAGUACGCCAUGACAGGACACCUGACGGAAAAGGUUGACGUUUUCGCAUUCAGUGUCGUGGCACUGGAGAUCAUCGCAGGACGCCGGAACUUCGAUGACAGCCUCGAGGAAGAUGUGCUUACCACAACUGGCAGGCCUGGCAUCUGCACGAGAGCCAACGGACACUUGAACUAUUAG
rnacentral:rRNA from 1 species